GCCUGGUAUGGUGGCGUCCAUCUGUAAUCCCAGCUACUCGGGAGCCUGAGGCAAGACAAUUGCUUGAACCUGAGAGGCAGAGGUUGCUGUGAGCCGAGAUUGCACCACUGCACUCCAGCCUGCGUGAUGUAUCGGAAAAAGAAAAAAAAAUGUUCUUGGUUAGGGAUGUUUGCAGAAUAGAGGAGGCUGGCUGGGCACACUAAGUUCGGCAUCAAUAUGGUGACCUCCCGGGAGCGGGGGACCACCAGGUUGCUUAAGGAGGGGUGAACCGGCCCAGGUAAGAAACGGAGCAGGUGAAAACUCCAGUGCUGAUCAGUAGUGGGAUCGUGCCUGUGAAUAGCCACUGCACUCCAGCCUGGACAAUAUAGGGAGACCCCGUCUCUA
ensembl:misc_RNA Metazoa_SRP Metazoan signal recognition particle RNA